ACAGUUAUAUCACGUUGAUACACCGGUUGCCGUACGAUCACUGAAGUUAAGCAAUGUCGAGCCUGGACAGUACCUAGUUGGGUGACCGCUUGGGAAAACCAAGUGCUGUAAG